rnacentral:rRNA from 1 species
AAGUCGUAACAAGGUUUCCGUAGGUGAACNUGCGGAAGGAUCAUUG